UAUGGUCGAGUGACUUCCACAUUUGGGUUGAGGGAGCUCAGUUCUUUGAGCUACAUCUAUCAACCGGGAAGCAGAUGUGGGUCUUAAGGGUCUGGAGUUCAUACAUGGCAGUGGUGAUGAAAAGUUUGGAGGACGAAAAGAUGGAAGCGGCAUCGACGGAAGAGAUGGUGGAGGUGGAGAACAGAACAUUUUAGGAAGGAGAAGACCCAUUUUUAAGAAACGGUAAAUUUUGUUCCGCUUAGAAGUAUCCGUACACCUGCAGGAGUUAUAAAAUUCCGAUUAUAGACGAGGGUCGAGGGUUAUGGAGGUGGAUAACAGCGAUUUCAAGGCUGCCAGGGACGGAGCUCCUACCCGAGGGACGAUACGAAGUGAUAAUCCAUGGUUGGGAGAUCCAAUCACGCAAACGAUCCAUUCUCAACUCCGUGGCACUUCUGGUUUAUGAAGAAAAGCUUCAGAACACUUACCAGAGAUGGUUUUUGGAGAGAGUUCCUUAGUUCUUGUAUGACAAAAUACUGGAACUAAAAUUCAUUUCAAUGGAUGGAAGGAGGAAGCUUUACUUCCAUUUGAAGUCCCUGUAGCCGCAAAAUGGAAAUCCAGAAGCAACCCAUCUCAGUAGGUGAUACUUGACUAGGAUUAUACAUUCCCAACUCCAUAUUGAGGAAGUGAAACAGUUGAAAUAAUCCCAGACACGCAAGCUGAUGUGGAGCUGCAACUUCUUCUCCUCAGUGGACCUGGUUUCUCCCUUCUCCUCUGAUCUGGACAGCAGGUAAGAUUCAAGGUCGAACAGACAACAAAAUUGAGGUGAAUCUGCAAAAGACUGCAUACUUGACAAGGCUAGCAGGGAGGUCACUCAUCGUAAAUCCGAUUGAUGCCGUACUUCUUACUUUGUCUUUAACUGAAACACUAGAAGAAGACCCAGUUAUAUCUUGUGAUAAUUUUCCCAGCAGGGAUUUUAUCAGUGCAUGGUAUAGGAAAAUGGAUGGAUUAUGGAUGAAGACUUGAGAGAGAGACAAAGUACAGUGUUAGUACCUGCAGGAGAUACUGAUGAGUAGUUGGGAAGAGCAGAAACUCAUGAAGCCAGCCAUAUCUUCAGCUCCCAUUCUCUACAACCUUCUGAAGUUUGCCCAUCCAGACUCUGAAGCACAUGAAACACGAAUCUGUGUAUCUGAUGAUGGAGUAAAACACAGCCACGAGUGUGGGGCAGUCAGGUCAUGCCUCGGCAUAGCUUUAUCACUUUUUAUUUUUUUCUUUACUUUUUGGUAAAGUUAGCAAAUCUUUAACAGUAGUGGUUUACAAUUCGGGAGUCCGGAUCAGGACCUCAUUCUCAUCGGUGCAUACUAACCCUACAACCGCAUGGAUCAGGCCAUACCAGAGUUGAAUGAGAACCAUUCAACUAUUACUGAAAGCAAUGAAGAGCAUUAAACAACCCCAUGUGAGUAACCUAUGGUGUACCUACUGAGAGUCGAACUUAGGACAUUUGAGUUUAUGGUUCGUACUAAGUUUGUUGUUCAUCAACUGGGAUGCCUAUCCUCUCAUCAUGAACAACAUAUUAGAUCAUGUUGAAAUUUAUUGGCUAUGAUGACAAAUAGCCAGUCUUGUUUGCAACA